UCCCUGGUGGUCUAGUGGGUAAGACUCCUCACUCUCAAUGAAGGGGGCCCAGGUUUGAUCCCUGGUCAGGGAA